AGAUUAGUAAAACUAUGUACUUUUUUCAAGAGGCAGGAAACCAACCAUUCCUGUCUAUAUCCCAGUUCAAGACAAACUUCUGGUCGUGAUUGGGGAUAACAACACCUCAAUUUCAGGUGUUGAGAAUGCCUGUGACUGAGAACAACCAACAGCUGUUAUCAGUGUUCCUGUAGGUUGGUACAGCAAGCUAUGGCAGGAAAGCCAGAAUAUCGAACUGCUGCAGAGGGACAAUAACUUCCAGUGCACCCAUCCUCUGCAUCAUUGCAGGAUCUUGCCAAGAUGACAUUUGAGGACUUCCAUCACCUGUCUGAGAAAGAGAAAAAUAGAUAGGGUUCAAUAUGCUGAUAUGCAAUAUAAACUAGCUCAAAAAAAAGUAAUUCAUUCCCAUCUCCUCUUUCAGCAAUAUUAUACUAUUUUAUUUUCAUUUUGUAUGAUAACCGUGGCAUAGUAAUAAGGGGGCAAGCCGGGCAAAUGCCCCGGGCAGCACAUUUCUUAGUGGGCAGCACAAGCGAGGCUACUGAAAGUAUUGGUGUUCAGAUUAUUGUUUUAGAAUUUGCAACAUUGAAGGUAUGCAAAAUAAUGAUUUAAAGUUGAUGGAUGUAUAAUAUAAUAUGUAUACAUAAUACACAAAUGCUUAAUUUUACAUUUUAAUUAUUUUUGGGUGCACCAUUUCCAGGUUUCGCCCCCAUGUAAAUCUAUCUUUCAAUAAGCCGCUGUAUGAAAGGGCUGUGGUAUUUAACAGAGUAUAAAAUAUUGUGGUGUGACCUUAGUAUUAUUCACUACCUAUCUUCAAAAAAAGAAGAAAAAAACUUCCAGUAAUAAAUAUAAACCUAAUUCCAACUUUAACAGUUUAUGUAAAGUGGUUCUGAAUUGAUCAGAAAGCAAAAUUCAGUGGUUAUAUUAGAAGAAAUAUCUUGGUUAGGUUAAAUUUAGCUAGGUUAAACUUGGUUAGGUUAAGUUUAGUAAGGUUAAAUUGGGUUAAGUUAAGUUUAGUGUGUUAAACUGAGUUAGGUUAUCUUUGGUUAAGUUAAAUUGAGUUAAGUUUCACUACAUUAACUUUGGUUAGGUUAAACUUGUUAAGGUUAAGAUUAGUUAAGUUACAUUGGGUUAGGUUAACUUUGUUUAGGUUAAACAGUUAGGUUGGAUCAGAUUAUAUUAUUUGCUUCACAAAUAAUGACAUGAUAAUAGAUUAUUUGCUUCAGUACACUUCUUACAUUCAGCCAUAUGGUGUACACAAUCACCACCCUUGAAAUAAUCCAAUAUUAAUUUUAUCCAUUCCACGUAUAAUCCUUAUCCAUACUUUCAUCCAACAGUCUUUUAAAGCCACUCAUCUCAGCAAUUACUCAGCCCAUUCACAACUAUGUUAGAGAAUGAAUAUCUACCUACAUGUUAUGCAUAUCAUAGUUUUUCCUAGCUACAUCCAUUGUCAUGUCUCCUAUCCUGUUUACUUAUUUCUAAAACCUGAUUGGUUUCUUUUACCAAUUCCUUUCACCCAU